rnacentral:rRNA from 1 species
GAUGAACGCUGGCGGUGUGCCUAAUACAUGCAAGUCGAACGGGGAUAGCAAUAUUCUAGUGGCGACCGGGUGCGUAACACGUAGCUGACCUACCCUUCAGCGGGGGACAACAUGUCGAAAGACGUGCUAAUACCGCAUGCACUCCAAGAGAUUGAACAUUUUGGAGGAAACACGCAAGUGGCUGAAGGAGGGGGCUGCGGCCCAUCAGGUAGUUGGUAAGGUAAUGGCUUACCAAGCCAAUGACGGGUAGGGGGCCUGAGAGGGUGGUCCCCCACACUGGGACUGAAAGACGGCCCAGACUCCUACGGGAGGCAGCAGUAAGGGAUAUUGGGCAAUGGGCGAAAGCCUGACCCAGCAACACCGCGUGCAGGAUGACGGCCUUCGGGUUGUAAACUGCUUUGGCGUGGGACGAGGAGGGACGGUACCACGCGAACAAGUCACGGCUAACUACGUGCCAGCAGCCGCGGUAAAACGUAGGUGGCAAGCGUUAUCCGGAUUUACUGGGCGUAAAGCGUGUGCAGGCGGGUUUUCAAGUGGUGUAUGAAAUCGCUCGGCUCAACCGGGCGGGGUUAUGCCAGACUGAAGACCUUGAGGCUGGAAGAGGGACAUGGAAUUCCGGGUGUAGUGGUGAAAUGCGUAGAGAUCCGGAGGAACUCCAGAGGCGAAGGCGGUGUCCUAGGCCAGACCUGACGCUCAGACACGAGAGCAUGGGGAGCGAACGGGAUUAGAAACCCCGGUAGUCCAUGCCGUAAACGAUGCGGACUAGGCGUGGGGGGACUCAACCCCCUCCGUGCCGAAGGGAACCCGAUAAGUCCGCCGCCUGGGGAGUACGACCGCAAGGUUA